rnacentral:rRNA from 1 species
CACUCCUGCGGGAGGCAGCAGUGGGGCAUAUUGGACAAUGGGCGCAAGCCUGAUCCAGCCAUGCCGCGUGAGUGAUGAAGGCCCUAGGGUUGUAAAGCUCUUUCACCGGAGAAGAUAAUGACGGUAUCCGGAGAAGAAGCCCCGGCUAACUUCGUGCCAGCAGCCGCGGUAAUACGAAGGGGGCUAGCGUUGUUCGGAAUUACUGGGCGUAAAGCGCACGUAGGCGGAUCGAUCAGUCAGGGGUGAAAUCCCAGGGCUCAACCCUGGAACUGCCUUUGAUACUGUCGAUCUGGAGUAUGGAAGAGGUGAGUGGAAUUCCGAGUGUAGAGGUGAAAUUCGUAGAUAUUCGGAGGAACACCAGUGGCGAAGGCGGCUCACUGGUCCAUUACUGACGCUGAGGUGCGAAAGCGUGGGGAGCAAACAGGAUUAGAAACCCGUGUAGUCCCAUG